rnacentral:snRNA from 1 species
UAAAAGGGCCUUUGCUGUCACUAGCACUUCAUGAGCUAUCAUGGAGCAGAAUCACAAUCAAGAGAUUUUGGAGGCAUAAUGUUUAGAAAUUGUGGCAGCUAGUUCUCAUAUUGCCUGGCGCCCUG